ACUCCUACGGGAGGCAGCAGUGGAGAAUCUUGCGCAAUGGGCGAAAGCCUGACGCAGCCACGCCGCGUGCGGGAAGAAGGCCUUCGGGUCGUAAACCGCUUUCAGGAGGGAAGAAGCGAAAGUGACGGUACCUCCAGAAGAAGCCCCGGCCAACUAUGUGCCAGCAGCCGCGGUAAUACAUAGGGGGCAAGCGUUAUCCGGAAUCAUUGGGCGUAAAGCGCAUGUAGGCGGCCAUGUAAGUCGGUUGUGAAAUCUCGGGGCUCAACCCCGAAACUGCAUCCGAUACUGCAUGGCUUGAGGAAGGUAGAGGAGAGUGGAAUUCCCGGUGUAGCGGUGGAAUGCGCAGAUAUCGGGAGGAACACCAGCGGCGAAGGCGGCUCUCUGGGCCUUUCCUGACGCUGAGAUGCGAAAGUGUGGGUAGCGAACAGGAUUAGAAACCCCAGUAGUCC
rnacentral:rRNA from 1 species